rnacentral:rRNA from 1 species
AGUGAACGCUGGCGGUAGGCCUAACACAUGCAAGUCGAACGCCCGUAGCAAUACGGGAGUGGCAGACGGGUGAGUAACGCGUGGGAACAUGCCCUUUGGUUCGGAAUAACUCAGGGAAACUUGAGCUAAUACCGGAUAAGCCCGAGAGGGGAAAGAUUUAUCGCCGAAGGAUUGGCCCGCGUCCGAUUAGCUAGUUGGUGAGGUAAUGGCUCACCAAGGCGACGAUCGGUAGCUGGUCUGAGAGGAUGAUCAGCCACACUGGGACUGAGACACGGCCCAGACUCCUACGGGAGGCAGCAGUGGGGAAUAUUGGACAAUGGGGGCAACCCUGAUCCAGCCAUGCCGCGUGAGUGAUGAAGGCCCUAGGGUUGUAAAGCUCUUUCGGCGGGGACGAUAAUGACGGUACCCGCAGAAGAAGCCCCGGCUAACUUCGUGCCAGCCGCCGCGGUAACAC